GUGCCAGCCGCCGCGGUAAUACGGAGGGUGCAAGCGUUAAUCGGAAUUACUGGGCGUAAAGGGCGCGUAGGUGGUUUAUUAAGUGAGUUGUGAAAGACCUGGGCUUAACCUGGGAUGGUCAACUGAUACUGAUAGACUGGAGUUUAAGAGAGGGUAGUGGAAUUUCAGGUGUAGCGGUGAAAUGCGUAGAUAUCUGAAGGAACACCGGUGGCGAAGGCGACUACCUGGCUUGAAACUGACACUGAGGCGCGAAAGCGUGGGGAGCAAACAGGAUUAGAUACCCUGGUAGUCCACGCUGUAAACGAUGUCAACUAGUUGUUUGUACAUGAACAUGUAUGAGUAGCGAAGCCAACGCGAUAAGUUGACCGCCUGGGGAGUACGGUCGCAAGAUUAAA
rnacentral:rRNA from 1 species